GGAUGUAAGGGCAAUCUGGUUGCAACAUCCGUCACCCCACUGAUAGCUAGAGUUGAUUCAGCUGAUCUGACUUCCUAAGUGGUUGCCCUCUUCCUCCCUCACCACUCCAUGUGCUUCCCUCCUGAAGCUGCAUGCUGAGAAUAGGAUGACCUUCCUCCAAAGAGGAGGAUCAUUCUUCAGUCAAGUGUACAGGAGUAACUAUGCUCCCCAGCUAGUACCUCCAGACAAGUUUUCAAGAUUCAUUUGUAGAACAUAGGGUAGUUAAGCUUCUGGACUCCAGACACGUCCAGAGGAGGCACUGCAUGUGGCAGUAUGCCUUUCUUU
ensembl:misc_RNA 7SK 7SK RNA